CCCCACUGCUAUCGGGAUGGGACUAAGACAUGCUAGUCGUGCGUCUCCAAGCCAUGGCGGAGACGCGGCGCACAGCUCAGUAACACGUGGCUAACCUGCCCUUAGGACAGGGAUAACCCCGGGAAACUGGGGCUAAUCCCUGAUAGGUGAGGGUUCCUGGAAUGGGCCCUCGCCGAAAGGGCGCCUAGACCAUGCUUCUAGGUGCUGCCCAAGGAUGGAGCCGCGGCCGAUCAGGUUGUUGGUGAGGCAACGGCUCACCAAGCCUUUAACCGGUACGGGCCGUGAGAGCGGGAGCCCGGAGAUGGGUACUGAGACAAGGACCCAGGCCCUACGGGGCGCAGCAGUCGCGAAAACUCCGCAAUACGCGAAAGCGUGACGGGGCUAUCCCGAGUGCCGUCCGCUGAGGAUGGCUUUUCCCUAGUGUAUAAAGCUGGGGGAAUAAGGAGAGGGCAAGCCUGGUGUCAGCCGCCGCGGUAAUACCAGCUCUCCGAGUGGUGGGGAUGCUUAUUGGGCCUAAAGCAUUCGUAGCCGGUUGGGCAAGUCCUCCGUUAAAUCCAGCGAUUCAAUCGUUGGACUGCGGGGGAUACUGUCCGGCUUGGGGGCGGAAGAGGCCGACGGUAUUCUCGGGGUAGGGGUGAAAUCCUAUAAUCCCGGGAGGACCACCAGUGGCGAAGGCUGUCGGCUAGAACGCGCCCGACGGUGAGGGAUGAAAGCUGGGGGAGCGAACCGGAUUAGAUACCCGGGUAGUCCCAGCUGUAAACGAUGCAGGCUAGGUGUUGGCGCGGCUACGUGCCGCUCCAGUGCCGCAAGGAAGCCGUUAAGCCUGCCGCCUGGGAAGUACGGCCGCAAGGCUGAAACUUAAAGGAAUUGGCGGGGGAGCACCACAAGGGGUGAAGCUUGCGGUUU
rnacentral:rRNA from 1 species